AACACAAUUUACAUGAAUGCCACAUCCACUCCACAUUACAUCAUUCAACUUUUCAAUCUACUUCAUCAUGAUUCCAAUCCAGGGAUCUUAUCACACUUCAGUCUAAUAAUUGCAUUCACAACUUCAUUGAUUUGCUUCUCAUACUUACAGUCAUUCAUUGCAUUCAUCCUAUUCUCAUCAGUUUCACUCUUACUCCUCUCUUCAAUAGGCUAUCCUAUUGGAUAUUCAUGAGCUAUCAAAAUCCUUUGAUAGAGUGGAUAUCCAAUCCAUCAAACAUCUUAGAUUCAUACCACAAUAUUCUAACUUUUUCACUUUUCAGACCAGACCAGCAGUUCUCAAGGAAAAU
rnacentral:lncRNA from 1 species